GACGAACCGUGCGAACGUUGUUCGGAAUCACUGGGCUUAAAGGGCGCGUAGGCGGGUUGGCAAGUCUGCGGUGAAAGCCCCCAGCUUAACUGGGGAAGUGCCGUGGAUACUGCCGGUCUCGAGGAGGGUAGGGGCAUCUGGAACACUGGGUGGAGCGGUGAAAUGCGUAGAGAUCGGAAAGAACACCAACGGCGAAAGCACUCUGCUGGGCCGACACUGACACUGAGAGACGAAAGCUAGGGGAGCGAAUGGG
rnacentral:rRNA from 1 species